CCAAACUAUGAAAAAAAGUGUGACUUGAAAAUAUGGUAGUUUUAAUCAGGCUUUGCCACAAAGGUAAAAGGUGCAUUCCAUGCAAACAUCACAGUCUUCUGUGCAUAGUUGCAUGACUGUGACCUUUUCUUUGGUCUUGCUUAAAUGCACAGUGGAUGUGUUAACCACAUAACUCCCAGCAAGGCGCUCAACAGGCAGAAAUGAUGCUGGCUAUGACAUGUCUGUUCCCUACAAGCUCCAAUAAUGAGCUAAGUCCAACCAUUACGCCCCCACGCCAGCAGGGGAGACAAUUCCUCUAGUGAGCAGUUGAAGACCCACCCGUCGCUUCUGCCAGUAGAACAGCUGAUAGGGUAAACAAACAGUCAGUGUGCGGCUCGCCGGCAAAUUCAAACAGAAAGGCUAGCCUACAGUUUGGUUAGGCUACUUCACUUUACUUGGAUGUAAGAAUGUGGUUCAAAAACAACACAUCCGCGAUCGUUGGCGCUCGGUCAUUCCUUCUAGAAGAGGGGACCUUGAAACGAGCACUUCCCUUUGCUUGGAGGAAUGGUGAGCGUUGGAUCAUCUAGUGCCAGACGAGUGGUUACUUCAUCAGAUCGGGCCAGGAGGAGGGACAUCAGCCGUCGGGAAAUCAGAGCCGCGGUAUCCUUCGGCCGUAGCCUACCGACCAGUGUUCACUCGGAAACAAAUUGUAGGCGCUACAAACUGGAGUAAGGGUAAGAUUUAAAGAAUAUGCUUUCAUUCUUCUGUAAGCUAUAAGGAAAUAAAUAUGUUAAUAGAGACCGAUCUUAACCGUACAUUUUGUUUUCACAGACUAACCUCGCCUCAUAACGAGGCCGUGACCUCCUAUUUACUCAGAGCUAUGUCUGCAAGUCAUGAAGUCAUUGCGUCUGCCUGUAAGACCUAUUACGAGACAGUAGGCUACGCAGGAGCUUCAGGUAAACAACCAGACGUUGCAUAUCGCAUGCGGAAGCUGUGAAGAGUUCAGCUCGGAGUCGAUCAAGAAGAAAGAGAGUAAGAUCCAUUUUUGCUGCUGGAAGCGAGACAGACUCCGAAGUAGACUACAAGGCAACGCACCACAGACAUCUGCAAAAUGGACCGAAUUCUGACAGAAUACCGCCAGUUACCUACUGCUCCGAGGUGGUAAACAGCCACUUCACGGUGCUGCAGGAUUUUGGGCUUCUUGUGAGCUUCUAAUUUGUUGUGAGGGGUGAUCUCACUUUGUAGCCAUGUGUGUCUGUGCUAAUAAAGCUCUUUCUUUGAAUAAACAUGUUCCUGGCAAAUUUUCCUUACCUCAAUAAAUUCAUUCAUGUCCUUGAUGGUAAUAAUAGUGUAGUAAUCUACAUAGGAUAACAAUGACAUGAAUAUACAACAUAAUAGCAUAGGAAUAUGAGUAUAUAUAUGGGGUUUACAUUUAUAAUGACCCAGGGUGACCAAUAGUGACAAAUCUGCCAACCAAUCAUAUGAUUUUUCUUGUUUAAAAGUAGUGGUUUCAUCCCAUACUGAGUAAGGAAAUUCAAGCUAGGCGCGUUUUUGAUUCUAUUCAUUGGCUAAUUAAAGUCAUUAGCACUCUGUGAGCUCUCCACAUACGUCAUAGUUCGUUUCCGACAAUAUGUGGCACAGACAAAUGCGACGUUCGCAGGCUGUAAAUUGUCGUUAACUGCCGAAAAUUAGGGAGAUUUCCAGGCAUUUACGGGGACGAAAAUCCCACUUUUCAUGCAGUAUCUGUUCCAGAACAAAUGUAAAGUUUCUGGUUUCGUAUCUGUUCCUAGCAAAACAUCAAAAGUUUCUGGUUUUCGUUUUUGUGCUGUGAACCGGUUCAAAGUCUUGAUUAAACUACCUAUCAACAUCCAUCAGCAUCCAUGUCAACUUCAAUUACUACCUCGCAACCUCCAUGACUACCCUUGCAACCUACAUAGCAACCACUAUAUAUACCAUAGUAACCACUAUGAUUACCCUAGCAACACCCUAACAGCCAUCUCAAGUACCCUGGCAACAACCUAGCAACCACUACCAUAACGUCACCCUAGCAACAGCUAUAGUAACCAACAUAAUUACCCUAGCAACCAGCAUAGCAACCACUUUAUAUAGUAUAAAAACCACCAUAACAACCAACACGACUACCCUAGCAACAUAAAUAGCAAACACUUUAUAUAGCAUA